UACGGGGGGUGCGAGCGUUGUCCGGAAUCACUGGGCGUAAAGGGCGCGUAGGUGGUUUGAUAAGGGUGUGGUGAAAGCCCGGGGCUCAACCCCGGGUCUGCCGUGCCGACUGUCAAACUCGAGGGCUGUGGAGGCAGACGGAAUUCCGGGUGUAGCGGUGGAAUGCGUAGAGAUCCGGAGGAAGACCGGUGGCGAAGGCGGUCUGCUGGGCAGUUUCUGACACUGAUGCGCGACAGCGUGGGGAGCAAACAGG
rnacentral:rRNA from 1 species